rnacentral:rRNA from 1 species
GACGAACGCUGGCGGCGUGCUUAACACAUGCAAGUCGAACGCUGAAGCCCUUUCGGGGGUGGAUGAGUGGCGAACGGGUGAGUAACACGUGGGUAAUCUGCCCUGCACUCUGGGAUAAGCCUUGGAAACGGGGUCUAAUACCGGAUAGGACACAUCGCCGCAUGGUGUGUGUGUGGAAAGUUCCGGCGGUGCAGGUUGAGCCCGCGGCCUAUCAGCGUGUUGGUGGGGUGAUGGCCUACCAAGGGGACGACGGGUAGCCGGCCGGAGAGGGUGACCGGCCACACUGGGACUGAGACACGGCCCAGACUCCUACGGGGGGCAGCAGUGGGGAAUCUUGCGCAAUGGGCGAAAGCCUGACGCAGCAACGCCGCGUGGGGGAUGACGGCCUUCGGGUUGUAAACCUCUUUCGACCGGGACGAAGGGUGACUGACGGUACCGGUAGAAGAAGCACCGGCUAACUACGUGCCAGCAGCCGCCGUAAAAC